AGCUUUGUGUAGUGGCAGUAUCGCAGCCAAUGAAGUUUAUCCAAGGAGUGAUUAUUGCUAAUUGAAAAGCAUAAAAAUGAAAUAAAUUUUUGUGGAAGUAACCCUCUCUUUGACUAAAAACAUCUAAUUCAUCAUUUUACU